rnacentral:rRNA from 2 species
UGGGGAAUAUUGCACAAUGGGCGAAAGCCUGAUGCAGCGACGCCGCGUGAGGGAUGACGGCCUUCGGGUUGUAAACCUCUUUCAGCAGGGACGAAGCGCAAGUGACGGUACCUGCAGAAGAAGCACCGGCUAACUACGUGCCAGCAGCCGCGGUAAUACGUAGGGUGCAAGCGUUGUCCGGAAUUACUGGGCGUAAAGAGUUCGUAGGCGGUUUGUCGCGUCGUUUGUGAAAACCAGCAGCUCAACUGCUGGCUUGCAGGCGAUACGGGCAGACUUGAGUACUGCAGGGUAGACUGGAAUUCCUGGUGUAGCGGUGAAAUGCGCAGAUAUCAGGAGGAACACCGGUGGCGAAGGCGGGUCUCUGGGCAGUAACUGACGCUGAGGAACGAAAGCGUGGGUAGCGAACAGG